GCGCAUCAUAUAAGUAUGUUUGCACAUCAUAUAAUGAUGUUUGCACCUCAUAUAAUGAUGUUUACACAGAAUAUAAUGAUGUUUGCACAUCAUAUAAGGAUAUUUGCACAUCAUAUAAAGGUGUUUGCACAUCAUAUGAUGACAAGUCAACAUCACAUAAAGGUAAAUUCACAGCAUAUAAAGGUAAAUGCACAUCAUAUAAAG
rnacentral:lncRNA from 1 species